GAGGAAGUCGCGGCUGAUUAGCUAGUUGGCGGGGUAAUGGCCCACCAAGGCUUAGAUCGGUAGCCGGCCUGAGAGGGCGCACGGCCACACUGGAACUGAAACACGGUCCAGACUCCUACGGGAGGCAGCAGUGGGGAAUUUUGCGCAAUGGGGGAAACCCUGACGCAGCAACGCCGCGUGGAGGAUGAAGUCCCCUGGGAUGUAAACUCCUUUCGACCAAGACGAUAAUGACGGUACUGGUGGAAGAAGCACCGGCUAACUCUGUGCCAGCAGCCGCGGUAAUACAGAGGGUGCGAGCGUUGUUCGGAAUUAUUGGGCGUAAAGGGCGCGUAGGCGGUGCGGUAAGUCACCUGUGAAAUCUCCUGGCUCAACUGGGAGCUUGCAGGCGAAACUGCCGUGCUAGAGUGUGGGAGAGGUGCGUGGAAUUCCCGGUGUAGCGGUGAAAUGCGUAGAUAUCGGGAGG
rnacentral:rRNA from 1 species